AUUGAACGCUGGCGGCAUGCCUAACACAUGCAAGUCGAACGGCAGCGCGGGGGCAACCCUGGCGGCGAGUGGCGGACGGGUGAGGAAUGCAUAGGAAUCUGCCCGGUUGUGGGGGAUAACGUAGGGAAACUUACGCUAAUACCGCAUACGACCUUCGGGUGAAAGUGGGGGACCUUCGGGCCUCACGCGAUCGGAUGAGCCUAUGCCCGAUUAGCUAGUUGGCGGGGUAAAAGCCCACCAAGGCGACGAUCGGUAGCUGGUCUGAGAGGAUGAUCAGCCACACUGGGACUGAGACACGGCCCAGACUCCUACGGGAGGCAGCAGUGGGGAAUAUUGGACAAUGGGCGCAAGCCUGAUCCAGCAAUGCCGCGUGUGUGAAGAAGGCCUUCGGGUUGUAAAGCACUUUUGUUCGGGAAGAAAUCCGUGUGGUUAAUACCCGUACGGGAUGACGGUACCGAAAGAAUAAGCACCGGCUAACUUCGUG
rnacentral:rRNA from 1 species